UAUAGCUCAGUUAGUAGAACAUGAGACUCUUAAUCUCAGGGUCAUGGGCUCAAGCCCAAAGUUGGGCAAAA